rnacentral:rRNA from 1 species
GAUAAACGCUGGCGGCGUGCCUAAUACAUGCAAGUCGAGCGAACGGACGAGAAGCUUGCUUCUCUGAUGUUAGCGGCGGACGGGUGAGUAACACGUGGAUAACCUACCUAUAAGACUGGGAUAACUUCGGGAAACCGGAGCUAAUACCGGAUAAUAUUUUGAACCGCAUGGUUCAAAAGUGAAAGACGGUCUUGCUGUCACUUAUAGAUGGAUCCGCGCUGCAUUAGCUAGUUGGUAAGGUAACGGCUUACCAAGGCAACGAUGCAUAGCCGACCUGAGAGGGUGAUCGGCCACACUGGAACUGAGACACGGUCCAGACUCCUACGGGAGGCAGCAGUAGGGAAUCUUCCGCAAUGGGCGAAAGCCUGACGGAGCAACGCCGCGUGAGUGAUGAAGGUCUUCGGAUCGUAAAACUCUGUUAUUAGGGAAGAACAUAUGUGUAAGUAACUGUGCACAUCUUGACGGUACCUAAUCAGAAAGCCACGGCUAACUACGUGCCAGCAGCCGCGGUAAUACGUANGUGGGCAGCGUUAUCCCGGAUUAUUGGGCGUAAGCGCGCGUAGCGGUUUUUUAGUCUGAUGUGAAAGCCCACGGCUCAACCGUGGAGGGUCAUUGGAAACUGGAAAACUUGAGUGCAGAAGAGGAAAGUGGAAUUCCAUGUGUAGCGGUGAAAUGCGCAGAGAUAUGGAGGAACACCAGUGGCGAAGGCGACUUUCUGGUCUGUAACUGACGCUGAUGUGCGAAAGCGUGGGGAUCAAACAGGAUUAGAUACCCUGGUAGUCCACGCCGUAAACGAUGAGUGCUAAGUGUUAGGGGGUUUCCGCCCCUUAGUGCUGCAGCUAACGCAUUAAGCACUCCGCCUGGGGAGUACGACCGCAAGGUUGAAACUCAAAGGAAUUGACGGGGACCCGCACAAGCGGUGGAGCAUGUGGUUUAAUUCGAAGCAACGCGAAGAACCUUACCAAAUCUUGACAUCCUUUGACAACUCUAGAGAUAGAGCCUUCCCCUUCGGGGGACAAAGUGACAGGUGGUGCAUGGUUGUCGUCAGCUCGUGUCGUGAGAUGUUGGGUUAAGUCCCGCAACGAGCGCAACCCUUAAGCUUAGUUGCCAUCAUUAAGUUGGGCACUCUAAGUUGACUGCCGGUGACAAACCGGAGGAAGGUGGGGAUGACGUCAAAUCAUCAUGCCCCUUAUGAUUUGGGCUACACACGUGCUACAAUGGACAAUACAAAGGGCAGCGAAACCGCGAGGUCAAGCAAAUCCCAUAAAGUUGUUCUCAGUUCGGAUUGUAGUCUGCAACUCGACUACAUGAAGCUGGAAUCGCUAGUAAUCGUAGAUCAGCAUGCUACGGUGAAUACGUUCCCGGGUCU